AGCCUGAACGCUGGCGGCGUGGCUAAGACAUGCAAGUCGUACGGAGGUAGCAAUACCUCAGUGGCGAACGGGUGAGUAAUGAAUCGCUAACGUGCCCUGGACUUCGGGAUAGCUAUCCGAAAGGGUAGGUAAUACCGGGUGAUAUACCCUUUCCGCAUGGAAGGGGUCUCAAAGGUCCGCCGGUCUUCGGUGGAUGGUCUGGGAGCGGGCGAUUUCGUAUCAGCUAGUUGGUGGGGUAACGGCCCACCAAGGCGACGACGCGUAGCCGGACUGAGAGGUUGGCCGGCCACAUUGGGACUGAGACACUGCCCAGACUCCUACGGGGGCUGCAGUAACGAAUCUUCCGCAAUGCACGAAAGUGUGACGGAGCGACGCCGCGUGGAGGACGAAGUUCUUCGGAAUGUAAACUCCUGUCAGGGAAGAAGUUCUGAUCUACCCAGAGGAAGAGGCGGCUAACUCUGCGCCAGCAGCCGC
rnacentral:rRNA from 1 species